AACGAACGCUGGCGGCAUGCCUAACACAUGCAAGUCGAACGAGACCUUCGGGUCUAGUGGCGCACGGGUGCGUAACGCGUGGGAACCUGCCCUUAGGUUCGGAAUAACUCCCCGAAAGGGGUGCUAAUACCGGAUAAUGUCUUCGGACCAAAGAUUUAUCGCCUUUGGAUGGGCCCGCGUUGGAUUAGCUAGUUGGUAGGGUAAAAGCCUACCAAGGCGACGAUCCAUAGCUGGUCUGAGAGGAGGAUCAGCCACACUGGGACUGAGACACGGCCCAGACUCCUACGGGAGGCAGCAGUGGGGAAUAUUGGACAAUGGGCGAAAGCCUGAUCCAGCAAUGCCGCGUGAGUGAUGAAGGCCUGAGGGUUGUAAAGCUCUUUUACCCGGGAUGAUAAUGACAGUACCGGGAGAAUAAGCGCCGGCUAACUCCGUG
rnacentral:rRNA from 1 species